AAUAAAAUGGCUGAAGCAUAGGCGAUAAAUUGUAAAUUUAUUUAUGAGAAAUAAAUCUCUUUUAUUA
rnacentral:tRNA from 1 species